GGGCUGGCUUUAGCCCAGCGGUUCCUUCAGUUCCUUCGAGUCUGGCUUCCCAACCGCCCGGGCCGAUUGGUUCAAGACCCCCGUGCGCUCUCCAGUCCUUAA
ensembl:misc_RNA Vault Vault RNA